rnacentral:sRNA from 1 species
UAGCGCAAAAUUCGCACACGUGCCGACACGUUGUUCUGGGUGCUCAUAGUGAUCGAAAUACUGGUAUUUGCUAAGUGUUUGGUCCUUAAGAGAGUUGAAUGAUGGGGCAUGUGGAGGACUAAC